GUAGGGAUACCCGCUGAACUUAAGCAUAUCAAAAGCGGGAGGAA
rnacentral:rRNA from 1 species